AACGAACGCUGGCGGCGUGGAUAAGACAUGCAAGUCGAACGGGACAGACCGAGUAGCAAUAUUUAGAAUGUUCAGUGGCGAACGGGUGCGUAACACGUGGAUAACAUUCCGGAAAGCGGGGAAUAGCCCAGGGAAACUUGGAUUAAUACCGCAUGUGGCCGCAAGGCUAAAGACGGGGACCGCAAUGCCUGUCACUUUCCGAUUGGUCCGCGGCCUAUCAGCUAGUUGGCGGGGUAAUGGCCCACCAAGGCUACGACGGGUAGCUGGUCUUAGAGGACGACCAGCCACACUGGAACUGAGACACGGUCCAGACACCUACGGGUGGCAGCAGUCGAGAAUCUUUCACAAUGGGGGCAACCCUGAUGGAGCGACGCCGCGUGGAGGAUAAGGUCUUCGGAUUGUAAACUCCUGUCAUGCGAGAACAAGGUACUCAGGCUAAUAACCCGAUUGUUUGAUGGUACCGCAAGAGGAAGAGACGGCUAACUCUGUGCCAGCCGCCGCAGUAACAC
rnacentral:rRNA from 1 species